GCCGGGUGUGGUGGCGCAUGCCUGUAAUCCCAGCUACUAUGGAGGCUGAGGCAGGAGAAUCCCUUGAACCCAGGACGUGGAGGCUGCAGUAAGCCCAAGUCGCACCACUGCACUCCAGCCUGGGUGACAGAGUGAGACUCUGUCUCAG
ensembl:misc_RNA Metazoa_SRP Metazoan signal recognition particle RNA